rnacentral:tRNA from 1 species
GUCAGGAUGGCCGAGUGGUCUAAGGCGCUGCGUUCAGGUCGCAGUCCACUUCUUGUGGGCGGUGGGUUCGAAUUCAUCUUUUGACA